rnacentral:rRNA from 1 species
GAUGAACGCUGGCGGCGUGCUUAACACAUGCAAGUCGAACGGAAAGGCUCCUGCUUGCAGGGGUACUCGAGUGGCGAACGGGUGAGUAACACGUGGGUGAUCUGCCCUGCACUUCGGGAUAAGCCUGGGAAACUGGGUCUAAUACCGGAUAGGACCACAUUUUGGAUGGUGUGGUGGAAAGUUUUUCGGUGUGGGAUGAGCUCGCGGCCUAUCAGCUUGUUGGUGGGGUAAUGGACUACCAAGGCGUCGACGGGUAGCCGGCCUGAGAGGGUGUACGGCCACAUUGGGACUGAGAUACGGCCCAGACUCCUACGGGAGGCAGCAGUGGGGAAUAUUGCACAAUGGGCGCAAGCCUGAUGCAGCGACGCCGCGUGGGGGAUGACGGCCUUCGGGUUGUAAACUCCUUUCGCUAGGGACGAAGCGCAAGUGACGGUACCUGGAGAAGAAGCACCGGCUAACUACGUG